GCUGCUGUAGGAGCUAUAUUUUUCUCCCAGGGGAACCUCCCCACAGGUGAGGACAAGCCUAGAGCAAUAAUCCUGACCUGUUUAUAAGAAGCUCAUCAGAAGCAGCUACCCUGAAUCAGCCUAUAUCAGCAGUAGGGAAUUUCAGACAUGCUAUGGUUCACCAGAAACCUCCAUGGUCUGCUCUUCCACCCACUUAUUAAACAGAGAGUAGCAGGGUCCCUAGCAGCAAACUCUAGCCCAGACUCUCUACAGCUAUACAAACCCCCAGGCAAAGCUAAACUCAGCCUCAGUAUAAAUGAAAGGGCUCUCUUCCCAACAGCUGCAGUUGAUCAAGUCUCGGCACCCCCACCCCAAGCUGGAGCCGCAAGCACUGGCUUGCCUCACCAUGGGCGGGAAGCCCCAAGCCUCGGUGCCACCCCACAGGGCUGGAGCCACAAGUGCCAGCUUGCCCCGAACUUCCGUGCACCUCCAGGCAGUGGAACUGGUCACUGAUGGCAAGAACAUCUGGAAUUCACUCUUUUCCUGAUGUUACCUCUCCAUGUUUAAUCAAGACCUUGUGGGGGCGGAAGAGGAAGGAAUUGCUGCCAGCAUUAAGCUGUUCAAUUUUCUUGAGCAUAUAGUAGAGCUCUGGAGAAUAUUUAGUCAGGCUUUAUGUUAAGGGUACAUUAUCAAUA